UUCAUAUUGGCGGCUUCGAGUCCCUUUGCCGUAAAGGUGCGUGGGUGGUGUUUGGCAUGUUACUGGCGUUUGGAUGCCUGCUUGUGCAGCAACGUUCGUCGGCACAUGCCUUUUCAUUUGUGCAUCAAGGUUUCUUGUAACCUUGGGCAGGUGCGGGUUUCCUGUGUUGUCUACCUAUUAUACGGUAUUGCUUUGUCUAUGGAUGUCCCUUUUCGCCAUGCGUCGCUUAGCGUGCGCAAGGCGAACCUCGAAGCGUGCUUGGUGUUCCUUUCUCGAUGGCUUUUGGUCGUCCGAGAUGGGUGCACGGAGCGCUUGCUUGGUCUCAUGGGUGCCGGAACCUCUCAUGGGUAGGGGGCCUUGACGGCCUCGUGUUACCCUAAACAAAGUGUUUCGCUCGAAAGAAAACGACAGCCGAGCUCGUACGGGCAGAUGCUUGUACGAUUGGGCUUCGUCGAAAGAGGAAUGC
rnacentral:misc_RNA from 1 species